CUUGAAUGCCAGAAAACUACAGGGCAAAUAGUAUUACCAGUUUUUUAUAAAGUAGAUCCCUCAGACGUUCAAGACUUGACAGGAAGAUUUGAGGAUGUACUUGCUCAACAUAAAGAAAAAUUCAAAGACUGUUUAGAAAAGGUAGAGAGUUGGAGCCGCGCUAUGAAGGGAGCGGCCAACGUUUCAGGGUGGGAUUCAAGAACUAUUAAGUAAGACACUUAUUUUCA
rnacentral:misc_RNA from 1 species